CCUACGGGGGGCAGCAGUGGGGAAUAUUGCACAAUGGGGGAAACCCUGAUGCAGCGACGCCGCGUGAGUGAAGAAGUCAUUCGUGAUGUAAAGCUCUAUCAGCAGGGAAGAAAAUGACGGUACCUGAGUAAGAAGCCCCGGCUAACUACGUGCCAGCAGCCGCGGUAAUACGUAGGGGGCAAGCGUUAUCCGGAUUUACUGGGUGUAAAGGGGGCGUAGACGGCAGUGCAAGUCUGGAGUGAAAGGCGGGGGCUCAACCCGCGGACUGCUCUGGAAACUGGACGGCUGGAGUGCGGGAGAGGUAAGGGGAAUUCCUGGUGUAGCGGUGAAAUGCGUAGAUAUGAGGAGGAACACCAGUGGCGAAGGCGGCUUACUGGACUGUAACUGACGUUGAGGCUCGAAAGCGUGGGGAGCAAACAGGAUUAGAUACCCUAGUAGUC
rnacentral:rRNA from 1 species